rnacentral:rRNA from 1 species
UACGGAGGGUGCGAGCGUUAAUCGGAAUUACUGGGCGUAAAGCGUGCGUAGGCGGUUGGUUAAGUCAGAUGUGAAAGCCCCGGGCUUAACCUGGGAACGGCAUUUGAAACUGACCGACUGGAGUUGAGGAGAGGGGAGUGGAAUUUCAGGUGUAGCGGUGAAAUGCGUAGAGAUCUGAAGGAACACCAGUGGCGAAGGCGGCUCCCUGGCCUCAAACUGACGCUGAGGUACGAAAGCGUGGGUAGCAAACAGG